UGACUUCACACACACACACACACACACACACACACACACACAGUAACUGUCUUAAAAUAAUCUUACCCGCACAAGGUCUCCAUCUCAUGAAUGUAAAUAAAAACUAAAACACAUUAUGCAUGUUAUUAAACGCACGGAGACGUGUUUGUGGCUGUGUAAGAUAAACUGUGGAAAAUAUUCAUAACAAUUCAAGUCAUAAAAAAAAUAAAAUGCGGUAGUGCAUCUGCGUGCAACUGACAAUGAAACACAUUUAAUCUGACUUUAAACGGUGCUGUGUUUUCUGUCACAUACUGAUUUCCUUCAGGCACCGUGUUUUUUUACUUGCUCGAGCACCGAGGAAUUCGCUCGAGCUUUGUUUAAAGGUUAACUGCAACUGCAAGCAUUAAAAAACACCAGGUGGAUAUAAAAAGAAAGCGUAUAAAAGCAGCUAGACCGGUUCAUCGUUAAAUGCUUCGCAUCGUUUCCUGGUAGAAUCAGAUGAUCUCUGCUGUGAUGUUCCUCCUCCAGCUUAAAGGCAAAGAAUAAGGAAUAACAGCGAAACAAGCAUCUCUCAAAUCACAGGUUUGAGUCGUGGAUGUAGUGAGAGCGCGGGGAAGCGACGAGGAAACCGAAAAGAAAUGGCGGGAGAAAACGCACCGGAGAUGCGGCAAGACGAAGUCGAAGGCAAGCAGAAGGAAAGAGCUGUGAACGAAGGAGGAAGGAAAGAUCCCAGCGGAUUCAGAGAACAUCUAAAAGCGCACCAAACCAACAGCUCUGACAGAUUGCGACCGACGUUUUCUCUGGAUCCGGUCUCGUGAGAUGAGCGAUACAAACAAGCUUUUUUUACCUUAAACACAUCCGAUGAUCAUGUUUGGAGUCAAGUGUCUUGUUCAAGUGUGCCGUGACCCUGUUUCUGAGCUUCUCGAACCAAAUGAAUGUCAUGUUUUUACCGAAAAAAUAUCCAUGAAAGGUCAUUUAAGUGAGAGUCUACCUGAACAAGUGUCUGAGUUGCAUCAUAUAAUUAAUUUGUCAGUUUUUUCCUGAUGUUUAUGGUUGGUGUUUCCGCACUGCAUCAGUGCUCAGUAAAUAUUAUACCAUUAUAAA